rnacentral:rRNA from 1 species
UGGGGAAUAUUGGACAAUGGGGGCAACCCUGAUCCAGCCAUGCCGCGUGGAUGAUGAAGGCCUUCGGGUUGUAAAGUCCUUUCGCGCACGACGAUGAUGACGGUAGUGCGAGAAGAAGCCUCGGCUAACCUCCGUG